UACGAAGGGGGCUAGCGUUGCUCGGAAUCACUGGGCGUAAAGCGCACGUAGGCGGAUUGUUAAGUCAGGGGUGAAAUCCUGGAGCUCAACUCCAGAACUGCCUUUGAUACUGGACGAUCUCGAGUUCCGGGAGAGGUGAGUGGAACUGCGAGUGUAGAGGUGAAAUUCGUAGAUAUUCGCAAGAACACCAGUGGCGAAGGCGGCUCACUGGCCCGAUACUGACGCUGAGGCACGAAAGCGUGGGGAGCAAACAGGG
rnacentral:rRNA from 1 species